rnacentral:ncRNA from 1 species
AGGAGCGGAGUGCCGUGAAAAUGGCACGCUCCGUUCUGAAUGGGAGGUAGGGAAAGUGAUUUCCCUAUCGACCCGUAC